UAAAUCGGUGAAAUCAAAAGUGCCCAUUGUGUCUGUGAAAAACAGAUCUUAAAUGUUGAAGGUGGAGCAUACAGGUGUGAGCUCAUUAUUAAAAUUUUUAUUUUAACGUUAGAACGCGUCUAUAUAAUUAAGAUCUGUCUAUACACUUCUUUAAUUCUCUAAUUAAAAAAACAAAAAAACAACAACAACCAGUCUUUAAGAUAGAUGGUAUACUCAUAGUUUUAAUGCGUUAAUAACUGAAAACGUGAAAGUGUUAAUACCUCUACCUCUAUCUAACAACACUACUAUCAGGUUGUUCGUGCUUAAUAUAGGCAGUGAGGGUGUUCAUCAAGGAAUUUGCUCCUGAAGAAGGAGGGAGAGCAUUAACCUCUGCAUGUCAAACAAUUUUCCUUCACUGCAAACGGCGCCAGCUUAUCACCUGAGUGAAGAAGACAAGAAGACCUUGAACGUUUGAUAUAAUGGUAGAGAGCCGACCAUGAAAAGCUGACUGCACAAUACGUGAUCGCUCUUCUGUCCUCGGAAACCCAAAGCGUCGACUGCCGCCAUAUUCUGAAAGAUCCUUGACGCCAAAGAAGAAAUAUAAAAGACUGGCACGGGUGAUCCAAAUAUACAACAUAACAAUUUCCAACCGCACCCAAAAGCUUACUGCUUUCCGAGGAACUGCCCCGCCAUCACAAAGUGCCUACUGUCAUCGUUAACAGAUCUGCAGCAACAUCCCAGUAUCUACUGCUACAAAGAAUCUGUUUUUCACUUACAAAACCGAACAGAAAAGGUCCGUGAAAGCUUUAAGUUUUCGCUGAAUGAGUCAGCCAGCGAUCCCCUUUGAAUGAAACAAAAAAAAUCCUCCAAACUCCUUUAUACAGUGACGAGUCUCAGUGACUUAAAAUCUCAGAGAACAAAGUGCCAAAAGUAGUACAGCGAUUGGUUUGGAAUACUUGCAAAACUGCUUUAAAACA